AGCAGCCGCGGUAAUUCCAGCUCCAAUAGCGUAUAUUAAAGUUGUUGCAGUUAAAAGCUCGUAGUUGAAUUUCGGGGUUAGUAGGUUGGUCAUGCCUCUGGUAUGUACUGGUCUCACUGAUUCCUCCUUCCUGAUGAGCCGUAAUGCCAUUAAUUUGGUGUUGCGGGAAUCUGGACUGUUACUUUGAAAAAUUGAGUGUUUAAAGCAAGCUAACGCUUGAAUACAUUAGCAUGGAAUAAUGAAAUAGGACGUUCGAAUUCCUAUUUUGUUGGUUUC
rnacentral:misc_RNA from 1 species